rnacentral:lncRNA from 1 species
GGCUGACCUGCUGCCCCUGGACAGCCUCAAGAGGUUAGGCACCUCUAAGGACCUGCCAGCAGCCACACAGUGUGAUCCAAAGACGCCUGGUGGAGGGAAAGCAGAGGCGGCUUCAGGGGGAGUCCCCCCUGCUGCAGGCUCUGAUCCGUGGCCAUGACAGCAGCAGGACCAGUGCGACACAGGUUCCAGCUCUUCUUGUCAACUGCAAGUGCCAGGACCAGAUGCUUCGUGUGGCUGUGGACACAGGGACCCAGCACAAUCAGAUAUCUGCUGGAUGCCUCAGGCGCCUGGGGUUAGGAAAGAGGGUCCCCCAAGCCCCAGGUGGGGAUCUGGCACCUGAGUCAACAAGUCAGGUGGAACAGGUGGAGCUGGAGCUGGGGCAGGAGACGGUGGCAUGCUCGGCCCAGGUGGUGGAUGUGGACAGUCCUG